rnacentral:lncRNA from 1 species
GCCGUAGCCGCCGCCGUCGCCACCAUUCGCCGUUCAAGCUGCCGUUCACGGACAGGUAAAGUACCGCCGCACCACGUCCUCCUGUCGCUGCCGCCCUCCGUUCGUGUCACUGCCGUCGCCGCCGCUGCCGCUGGGACGCCCCGUCCCCCUCCCUCGGCGCCGCGAAUCGGGAACCCUAGGGUUCCCGAUUUUCCGGGUCGUGGCCUCGGGUCAUCGGAUCGGACCCGGGCCACGAGUCGGGUAGGGUUCCGCG